rnacentral:rRNA from 1 species
GACGAACGCUGGCGGCGUGCCUAACACAUGCAAGUCGAACGGAGCACUUCGGUGCUUAAUGGCGAACGGGUGAGUAACGCGUGAGAAACCUGCCUCUCAGUGGGGGACAACAGUUGGAAACGACUGCUAAUACCGCAUAAUGUAUUCGGAAGGCAUCUUCUGAAUACCAAAGCUUUAUGUGCUGAGAGAUGGUCUCGCGUCUGAUUAGCUAGAUGGCGGGGUAACGGCCCACCAUGGCGACGAUCAGUAGCCGGUCUGAGAGGAUGAACGGCCACAUUGGGACUGAGAUACGGCCCAG